rnacentral:rRNA from 1 species
GAUUAACGCUGGCGGCGUGCAUAACACAUGCAAGUCGAACGAUGAAACUCAUUAGAUUUCUUCGGAAUGAAACUGAAUGGAUUAAUGGCGAACGGGUGAGUAACGCGUGAGUAACCUGCCUUACACAAGGGGAUAGCCUCUGGAAACGGAGAAUAAUACCCUAUGAAACCAGACAAUCGCAUGAUAAUCUGGUCAAAAUGUUUAGUGGUGUAAGAUGGACUUGCGUCUGAUUAGCUAGUUGGUGAGAUAAAAGCUCACCAAGGCAACGAUCAGUAGCCGGCUUGAGAGAGUGUACGGCCACAUUGGGACUGAGACACGGCCCAGACUCCUACGGGAGGCAGCAGUGGGGAAUUUUGCACAAUGGGGGAAACCCUGAUGCAGCGACGCCGCGUGAUUUAGAAGGCCUUCGGGUUGUAAAAAUCUUUUGUAUAGGAAGAAAAUGACAGUACUAUACGAAUAAGGUCCGGCUAAUUACGUG